UUAAUGGUUUCAUUUGAAACCACAUGCAAACAAAAGAAAAUUUCUU
rfam:Megaselia scalaris, Durham, NC isolate 2 -- Noor lab, WGS project CAQQ02000000 data, contig: ctg0000188852